rnacentral:misc_RNA from 1 species
GAUGAAGAACGCAGCGAAAUGCGAUAAGUAAUGUGAAUUGUAGAAUUCAGUGAAUCAUCGAAUCUUUGAACGCACAUUGCGCCCGCCAGCAUUCUGGCGGGCAUGCCUGUUCGAGCGUCAUUUCAACCCUCGAGCCCCCCCGGGGGCCUCGGUGUUGGGGGACGGCACACCAGCCGCCCCCGAAAUGCAGUGGCGACCCCGCCGCAGCCUCCCCUGCGUAGUAGCACACACCUCGCACCGGAGCGCGGAGGCGGUCACGCCGUAAAACGCCCAACUUUCUUAGAGUUGACCUCGGAUCAGGUAGGAAUACCCGCUGAACUUAAGCAUAUCAAUAAGCGGAGGA